GCAGCUUGGAGGCACCGCUGGCGCGGGGGGCAGUGCCGGACCCCCCCGUCUUGACGUUGAAGACCAUGAGCGGCCGCUCCUCCCUCCUCUGCCAGGGGCUUUUGCGGUCCCCCCCGUCGUCGCCGCCCUCUCCGCCGUCGCCCGCCUCGUCCUCGGGGCUGCUGGGGGAGUCCCGGGGGGGCUCGGAGGCGCUGCUGCGCCCGCUGCCGCCGCCGCCGCCGCCCCCCGCCCCGCGGCGCCCCGCGGGGGGACCCCCGAGCAGCGGGGCCAGGGCGCUGUCCUCGGGCGACGGGGGGCCGCGGGGCGGGGGGGGGCCGCGCGCGGGGCGGGGGGGGCGCUCUGUCGCCGCCCUGCAGGUCGAUGUAGGAGUGGCGGACGUGGGACGCGCGGCCGUCCAGGGACACGAACCAGGCGCGGGGCGCCACCAGCUUCUGCUCGGCCAGCGCCUGCAGCUCCCCGUUCAGCUGCGCCACCGCCGACUCGUU
rnacentral:lncRNA from 1 species